GACAGAGGUGCCAAGCGUUAGGCGGAAUCACUGGGCUUAAAGCGUGUGUAGGCGGGUCGUUAAGUACCUUGUGAAAUCCCCCGGCUCAGCCGGGGAACGGCUGGGUAUACUGGCGAUCUUGAGCCACCUAGGGGCAGUCGGAACAAGUGGUGGAGCGGUGAAAUGCGUAGAUAUCACUUGGAACGCCAAUGGUGAAAACAGACUGCUGGGGGUGUGCUGACGCUGAGACACGAAAGCCAGGGGAGCAAACGGG
rnacentral:rRNA from 1 species